UACGGAGGGUGCAAGCGUUAUCCGGAUUCACUGGGUUUAAAGGGAGCGCAGGCAGUUUUGUAAGUCAGUGGUGAAAGGCUUAAGCUUAACUUGGGAACUGCCAUUGAUACUAUAAGUCUUGAAUGUUGUUGAGGUUUGCGGAAUGGGUCAUGUAGCGGUGAAAUGCAUAGAUAUGACCCGGAACACCUAUUGCGAAGGCAGCAGGCUAAACAAAUAUUGACGCUGAGGCUCGAAAGCGUGGGGAUCAAACAGG
rnacentral:rRNA from 1 species